rnacentral:rRNA from 1 species
GAUGAACGCUGACAGAAUGCUUAACACAUGCAAGUCAACUGUGGCGGACGGGUGAGUAACGCGUAAAGAACUUGCCUCACAGUUAAGGCCAACAUUUGGAAACGAAUGCUAAUACCUGAUACUGUGAGAGAGCUUUGCGGCCCAUUAGCUAGUUGGAGAGGUAACGGCUCACCAAGGCGAGGAUGGGUAGCCGGCCUGAGAGGGUGAUCGGCCACAAGGGGACCGAGAUACGGCCCUUACUCCUACGGGAGGCAGCAGUGGGGAAUAUUUGACAAUGGACCAAAGUCUGAUCCAGCAAUUCGGUGUGCACGAUGAAGUUUUCGGAAGGUAAAGUGCUUUCAGUUGGGAAGCGGUACCAACAGAAGAAGUGACGGCUAAAUACGUGCCAGCAGCCGCGGUAAUUC